UUUUAUAAACAAAAUUAAUUUUCCGAUUGAAAGAAGUUUUUUUGAGAAAGAUCAGAGGACAAAAAAACUAAAUCAAUCAAUAAAAUACUUAACUACUAAACGAUUAGACCCCUUCCUCAUCUCUACGAUCAGCAACUGUAUGCAACUGCGCCUAUAAUUUAUUACAGAUAAUUUAUUUUGCUUUAUGUUUACCAAUGUACAGUAGAAUACUGGCAAGAAUUUAUGGAUAAUUGAUUAAAGAAGGCAAUUUGAAGGAAAACAAAAGAGCUGAGCAACGAACUUGAAAUUUAUACUUUCAGUAGUGUUGGCACUGAUCGCUUGGCAGAUGAAUGAGAGUUCGAAAAAUCCGGAGACUAAGAAUGGAAACACACAUUUUUUGCCAAAACAGACUGGGCUUCUGAAGUUUUAUAAAAUCAAAUUUGGGAACCGCAAGGACUGAAAAGCGAAUAUAUAUAAUUCCUACCAAUAUCGUUUUGAAGAAAAAUAAAAAAGAAGGAGUUUCAAACAAAAUCACCACCGUCUUAAUCAUGAAAACGCAAAUCUUGCAGAUGCUAAAAUAUAUGAAAACGUGACAUGCUUAAGCAACUCUUGAGUUGGAUUUGAAAAAUGUCAAUAUCAUACAAAUUUUCAAUGCGAAGUAAAAAAGUAGGCGUUAAACUAUUGGUGCAGGCAAAUGCAAAAACACCAGCAUUCAGUUGGUCUCAUAAAUGGAACAAUACAAAACCGGGAUGAUUGCUGCCGAUUUCUGAGGUCAACCCGAUGAUUAGACUUGGAAUUUAUUAAUUUUUUUUUUAGAAAUGAUAAAAAUUGAAGUAACUUUAAGAUUUUUAAAAUGUUCAAACCUUUUCUCAAUAGGACAACCGUUAAACAACAUUUUUGUGAUAAUUUAAGUUCAAGGUUAAAACAUUUUCUAAUUGUUUCAUAUCCCCAUCAUUAACAACUUACCCUUUUUACAACUUCAAUUAUUUUCCAUUAUAAAAUCCCCUUAAGUUUCUUUACUCACAUUCUCCGAGGAAAUUAGCUUUAAGAACUUUCAAAACAAAGUUCCUCUACCAAUAAAAGUCUUCUAUUUUUAGUUUUUGCUUAUUUUUGUUUUCCUAAUAUAAAUAUCCCGUGGUGCAUUUUUAUGUUUAAAUACCUCAGGGUAACUUCAUUCCGUCAUAACACAAAAAAAAAAACAACAACAACAAAAUAUUUAAUAGAUUCAUAUAAAAUUCCACAGAGAAUCUGAGAAGUCUGUCGGUUGGUUGUGUUGUUGAAUUUAUACGAGUAAAUCCUUAUUUUUGAUUCGUUUUUUCGUUAUUUGGCAGAAGCAUUGUUUCUUUGGUAUUUUUAUCUUUGACGGUACUGGUGCCAUCAGAUCCGGAAUAAUACGACAUUUUCUUGAUUUUCUUUCUAUCUCUUAUGUGAAAUGUACUCCAAUGGGAUGUUGAAUAAUACUCAGAGGAUUUUGAGUGUAAAGAGUGCAACUUUUUCGUGCAC